rnacentral:rRNA from 1 species
UACGUAGGGCGCAAGCGUUGUCCGGAAUUAUUGGGCGUAAAGAGCUCGUAGGCGGUCUGUCGCGUCGGGAGUGAAAACCUGCGGCUUAACCGCAGGCCUGCUUCCGAUACGGGCGAGCUAGAGUUCGGCAGGGGAGACUGGAAUUCCUGGUGUAGCGGUGGAAUGCGCAGAUAUCAGGAGGAGCACCGGUGGCGAAGGCGGGUCUCUGGGCCGUUACUGACGCUGAGGAGCGAAAGCGUGGGGAGCGAACAGG